GUAGGUGGCAAGCGUUGUCCGGAAUUAUUGGGCGUAAAGCGCGCGCAGGCGGUCCUUUAAGUCUGAUGUGAAACGCCCACGGCUCAACCGUGGAGGGUCAUUGGAAACUGGGGGACUUGAGUACAGAAGAGGAAAGCGGAAUUCCAAGUGUAGCGGUGAAAUGCGUAGAGAUUUGGAGGAACACCAGUGGCGAAGGCGGCUUUCUGGUCUGUAACUGACGCUGAGGCGCGAAAGCGUGGGGUAGCAAACCAGGAUUAGAUACCCUGGUAGUCCACGCCGUAAACGAUGAGUGCUAAGUGUUAGGGGGUUUACCCGCCCCCCUUAGUGCUGCAGCUAACGCAUUAAGCACUCCGCCUGGGGAGUACGGCCGCAAGGCUG
rnacentral:rRNA from 1 species